CUAGUAGGUGAGGUAAUGGCUCACCUAGGCGACGAUACAUAGCCGACCUGAGAGGGUGAUCGGCCACACUGGGACUGAGACACGGCCCAGACUCCUACGGGAGGCAGCAGUAGGGAAUCUUCGGCAAUGGGGGCAACCCUGACCGAGCAACGCCGCGUGAGUGAAGAAGGUUUUCGGAUCGUAAAGCUCUGUUGUAAGUCAAGAACGGGUGUGAGAGUGGAAAGUUCACACUGUGACGGUAGCUUACCAGAAAGGGACGGCUAACUACGUGCCAGCAGCCGCGGUAAUACGUAGGUCCCGAGCGUUGUCCGGAUUUAUUGGGCGUAAAGCGAGCGCAGGCGGUUUGAUAAGUCUGAAGUUAAAGGCUGUGGCUCAACCAUAGUUCGCUUUGGAAACUGUCAAACUUGAGUGCAGAAGGGGAGAGUGGAAUUCCAUGUGUAGCGGUGAAAUGCGUAGAUAUA
rnacentral:rRNA from 1 species